UUGAACGCUGGCGGCAGGCCUAACACAUGCAAGUCGAGCGGAUGAAGAGAGCUUGCUCUCUGAUUCAGCGGCGGACGGGUGAGUUAUGCCUAGGAAUCUGCCUGGUAGCGGGGGACAACGUCUCGAAAGGGACGCUAAUACCGCAUACGUCCUACGGGAGAAAGCAGGGGACCUUCGGGCCUUGCGCUAUCAGAUGAGCCUAGGUCGGAUUAGCUAGUUGGUGAGGUAAUGGCUCACCAAGGCGACGAUCCGUAACUGGUCUGAGAGGAUGAUCAGUCACACUGGAACUGAGACACGGUCCAGACUCCUACGGGAGGCAGCAGUGGGGAAUAUUGGACAAUGGGCGAAAGCCUGAUCCAGCCAUGCCGCGUGUGGUGAAGAAGGUCUUCGGAUUGUAAAGCACUUUAAGUUGGGAGGAAGGGUUGUAGAUUAAUACUCUGCAAUUUUGACGUUACCGACAGAAUAAGCACCGGCUAACUCUGUGCCAGCAGCCGCGGUAAUACAGAGGGUGCAAGCGUUAAUCGGAAUUACUGGGCGUAAAGCGCGCGUAGGUGGUUUGUUAAGUUGGAUGUGAAAUCCCCGGGCUCAACCUGGGAACUGCAUUCAAACUGACAAGCUAGAGUAUGGUAGAGGGUGGUGGAAUUUCCUGUGUAGCGGUGAAAUGCGUAGAUAUAGGAAGGAACACCAGUGGCGAAGGCGACCACCUGGAACUGAUACUGACACUGAGGUGCGAAAGCGUGGGGAGCAAACAGGAUUAGAUACCCUGGUAGUCCACACCGUAAACGAUGUCAACUAGCCGUUGGGAGCCUUGAGCUCUUAGUGGCGCAGCUACGCAUUAAGUUGACCGCCUGGGGAGUACGGCCGCAAGGUUAAAACUCAAAUGAAUUGACGGGGGCCCGCACAAGCGGUGGGAGCAUGUGGUUUAAUUCGAAGCAACGCGAAGAACCUUACCAGGCCUUGACAUCCAAUGAACUUUCCAGAGAUGGAUUGGUGCCUUCGGGAACAUUGAGACAGGUGCUGCAUGGCUGUCGUCAGCUCGUGUCGUGAGAUGUGGGUUAAGUCCCGGUAACGAGCGCAACCCUUGUCCUUAGUUACCAGCACGUUAUGGUGGGCACUCUAAGGAGACUGCCGGUGACAAACCGGAGGAAGGUGGGGAUGACGUCAAGUCAUCAUGGCCCUUACGGCCUGGGCUACACACGUGCUACAAUGGUCGGUACAGAGGGUUGCCAAGCCGCGAGGUGGAGCUAAUCCCAUAAAACCGAUCGUAGUCCGGAUCGCAGUCUGCAACUCGACUGCGGUGAAGUCGGAUCGCUAGUAAUCGCGAAUCAGAAUGUCGCGGUGAAUACGUUCCCGGGCCUUGUACACACCGCCCGUCACACCAUGGAGUGGGUUGCACCAGAAGUAGCUAGUCUAACCUUCGGGGGGACGGUUACCACGGUGUGAUUCAUGACUGGGGUG
rnacentral:rRNA from 1 species